ACGCCUCUCCGAGGACGGCAGACGCGGGAGGGCGAGCGCACGGGGCGGCUUCCCCGCGCCGCCGAGCGCCCGGCCCCGCCGCAGAGCCCCUCGCUGGGCUGCAGCAGGAACCAGCACCCGGGCUGCGCCCGAGGCCCCGCCGCAGCCCGCAGCCCGCAGCCGCCCCGAGGGACCGCGGCACGCCGCUGACCAGCCCGGCGCCCCUCACCGUGCCGCUGCCCGGCGCUCCGCAGGACCAGGCGGCUCCGCACCUUCCCCGCGGCCACAAGCCCCGCAAAACGCCCCAAACCGGGCGCCGCCGCCGCGCCCGGGACCUUCCAGGCGGAAGAAGCAGCGGCUCGGCCACCGCAGCCCUGUUGGAGGACAAGUAGAUGCGGGACGUUUUGUGCAGCCUCAGCGCAGGGGGCUGGGGGAGCUGCCCGUGCGUGUGGGAACACCACAAGCGCCUGGGAUAACGGGGGAUUUCGAGAAAGCGUGACAGGGAGAACUCCGCCUCGCCUCCCGUGCAGACCGCCGCCGUUGUCCCCUUCCUAGGCCCGGUGCGGCCCGGCCCGGCCCGGCGCUGAGCCGGCCUAACCCCGGAAAACGAGACAAAACAACUCAGAGCCGGGGUGGAGAGGGCAAGCACGGAGUUUGGGGAUGCAGAUCUGCUUUUUUCGACCGCGGCCCUCGCUCCGCGAGGAAGCGCAGACACCGGACGGAGUCGUUCGGGCACCCAGCGCGGGACUGCAGUGAUUUUGCACCAUUCGCUGAGCUCCGCUUAUUUCCCCCCUUGGCCCCCGUGCUACGCGCACAGCAGCCGGGUGAAACACGAGCGCGUUUCGGCGACGUGUCGCACCUAUUCGUUCCUGAGAUAGCGGUGAAAACUUAAUCUGGAAGUUGACUUUUUCAGCGUCUUUGCUAGCCGUGCUGCCAUUCGUGCAGGGAAAGUGCUGGGGCGAGAAGUGGAAGCAGCGGUCCGAUGGUGCAGAAGCGGAUUUUGCCCUUAACGUACCGGACGGCGCAAACAAAGUCGAAACCUCGGCUGGUUUCUGAACGCGGCCGCGGAGCCCGGCGCCGCGGGUGCCCGGCGGCAGGGGCGGCCCGAGAGCAGCCGCCUCCGCUGAAGGGUCCCGGAGGUGCCCGGAGCCCUCGCGCUUCCCCCCGAUUCCCUUCACCUCCGCUCGUGCGACGAGCAAACACCGCUCCGCGGAGGGGACCCGCCCGCGGGGGACGCGCCCGUGCCCGGGGGCCCCGCGGAGCCUCUGCCCGGUCCCGCACCGCCCCGGGUCCCGCACCGCCCCGGGUCCCGCACCGCCCCCGGGUCCCGCCCCGCUCCCGCACCGCCCCUGCCCGGGGUCGUGAAUUUCGCUGCCCCGGAGCUCGGCCGCAGACGCGUCCCGGGGCUGCUCCCCACCCGCGACGCGGCUCUCGGCGGCCCGGGGCUGCUGCUGGGGUGGCCCGAAGCGCAGCAGCAGUCCGCCAGCCCCCGCAGCCUCCCCCAGCCAGUCCGUCGCGCGUGCCUUAAGGCGACGAUGUCCGUCCAAAGCAGCGCAUUUGGGGCUCCCGCGCGGGAAUAUUUUGUUCACCGAGCCGAGGGGUUGGGAAGCAGCUCGGGGGAAUCGGUGAUUCAUUCCCGCCAGCCCCGAGCACCGCGCGGAACCGCCAGCAACGAGGUCCCGCUUUGCUCUCCGCAGGUUACAACUGCCAAAGUCUUUGCGUGUCUCUACAAGCCGGGACCCAAGAUUUACACAAGAUUUAUUGUUUUGUGACGGGCAUGUACAAAGCGCUACUGUAAUUCUCUGAAAUAAAACGCUUUUCUUCUGAAA